rnacentral:rRNA from 1 species
UGCGCGGAAGAUGUAACGGGGCUAAGUAGUAAACCGAAGCUGCGGCAAUGUGCUUUUGCACAUUGGGUAGGGGAGCGUUCUGUAAGCGGUUGAAGGUGUGUGGUAACGCAUGCUGGACGUAUCAGAAGUGCGAAUGCUGACAUGAGUAACGAUAAAGGGGGUGAAAAACCUCCUCGCCGGAAGACCAAGGGUUCCUGUCCAACGUUAAUCGGGGCAGGGUAAGUCGACCCCUAAGGCGAGGCCGAAAGGCGUAGUCGAUGGGAAACGGGUUAAUAUUCCCGUACUUC